AAUCAACGCUGGCGGCGUGCCUAACACAUGCAAGUCGAACGCGAAAGUCCCGCAAGGGAUUAGUAGAGUGGCAAACGGGUGAGUAACACGUGGGUGACCUGCCUUCGAGCGGGGGAUAACGUUCCGAAAGGAACGCUAAUACCGCAUAACAUCCUGCCUUUUAAGAGGCGGUGAUCAAAAGCCGGGGAUUCGCAAGAACCUGGCACUUGAAGAGGGGCCCGCGCCUGAUUAGCUAGUUGGUGGGGUAANGGCUUACCAAGGCAACGAUCAGUAUCCGGCCUGAGAGGGCGGACGGACACACUGGGACUGAGACACGGCCCAGACUCCUACGGGAGGCAGCAGUGGGGAAUUGUUCGCAAUGGGCGCAAGCCUGACGACGCAACGCCGCGUGGAGGAUGAAG
rnacentral:rRNA from 1 species